rnacentral:rRNA from 1 species
AGAGUUUGAUCCUGGCUCAGGACGAACGCUGGCGGCGUGCUUAACACAUGCAAGUCGAACGAUGAUGCCCGUGCUUGCACGGGUGGAUUAGUGGCGAACGGGUGAGUAACACGUGAGUAACCUGCCCUCCUCUUUGGGAUAAGCCUUGGAAACGGGGUCUAAUACCGGGUAUUCACACAUGGUCGCAUGGUCGUGUGUGGAAAGCUUUUGUGGUGGGGGAUGGACUCGCGGCCUAUCAGCUUGAUGGUGGGGUAGUGGCCUACCAUGGCUUUGACGGGUAGCCGGCCUGAGAGGGUGACCGGCCACACUGGGACUGAGACACGGCCCAGACUCCUACGGGAGGCAGCAGUGGGGAAUAUUGCACAAUGGACGGAAGUCUGAUGCAGCGACGCCGCGUGGGGGAUGACGGCCUUCGGGUUGUAAACUCCUUUCAGCAGGGACGAAGCUUUUUGUGACGGUACCUGCAGAAGAAGCACCGGCUAACUACGUGCCAGCAGCCGCGGUAAUACGUAGGGUGCGAGCGUUGUCCGGAAUUAUUGGGCGUAAAGAGCUUGUAGGCGGUUUGUCGCGUCUGCCGUGAAAGCCCAGGGCUUAACCCUGGGUCUGCGGUGGGUACGGGCAGGCUAGAGUGUGGUAGGGGAGACUGGAAUUCCUGGUGUAGCGGUGAAAUGCGCAGAUACCAGGAGGAACACCGAUGGCGAAAGCAGGUCUCUGGGCCAUAACUGACGCUGAGAAGCGAAAGCAUGGGGAGCGAACAGGAUUAGAUACCCUAGUAGUCCAUGCCGUAAACGUUGGGCGCUAGGUGUGGGGCUCAUUCCACGAGUUCCGUGCCGCAGCUAACGCAUUAAGCGCCCCGCCUGGGGAGUACGGCCGCAGGCUAAACUCAAAGGAAUUGACGG